rnacentral:rRNA from 1 species
UGAGUACGAGAUGCUACGGCAUCGAAGCAGUCUAUGUCAUACUUCCAAGAAAAGCUUGCACUGUCAUAAACAAAGAAUGCCUGUACCAUAACCGACACAGGUGGGUAGGUAGAGUAUACUAAGGGGCGCGAGAUAACUCUCUCUAAGGAACUCGGCAAAAUGACUCCGUAACUUCGGGAGAAGGAGUGCCUUAUUUCUAAGGUUGCAAUAACAAGAUCCAAGCAACUGUUUACCAAAAACACAGGUCUCCGCUAAGUCGUAAGACGAUGUAUGGGGGCUGACGCCUGCCCAGUGCCAGAAGGUUAAAGAAGUUGGUUAGCAUUAGCGAAGCUGAUAACUGAAGCCCUGGUGAACGGCGGCCGUAACUAUAACGGUCCUAAGGUAGCGAAAUUCCUUGUCGGGUAAGUUCCGACCCGCACGAAAGGCGUAAUGAUUUGGAUACUGUCUCGGAGAGGGGCUCGGUGAAAUAGACUUGUCUGUGAAGAUGCGGACUACCUGCACCUGGACAGAAAGACCCUAUGAAGCUUUACUGUAACUUGAGAUUGAAAUUGGACUUUAUUUGCGCAGUAUAGGUGGGAGGCGUUGAGAAUAAUCUUGCGGGAUUGUUGGAGCCAUCAGUGAGAUACCACUCUUGUAAUGUUAGAUUUCUAACUUUGUAUCAUUAUCUGGUCAAAGAACAGUUUCAGGCGGGCAGUUUGACUGGGGCGGUCGCCUCCCAAAGGGUAACGGAGGCGCACAAAGGUUUCCUCUGAACGGGUAGAAAUCGUAUCUAGAGUGUAAAGGCAUAAGGAAGCUUGACUGUGAGACCUACAAGUCGAGCAGGGACGAAAGUCGGUCUUAGUGAUCUGACGGUGCUGAGUGGAAAGGCCGUCACUCAACGGAUAAAAGUUACUCUAAGGAUAACAGGCUGAUCUCCCCCAAGAGUUCACAUCGACGGGGAGGUUUGGCACCUCGAUGUCGGCUCAUCGCAUCCUGGGGCGGUAGUCCGUCCCAAGGGUUGGGCUGUUCGCCCAUGAAAGCGGUUCGCGAGCUGGGUUCAGAACGUCGUGAGACAGUUCGGUCCAUAUCCGGUGUAGGCGUUAGAAUAUUGAGAGGAGCCUUCUCUAGUACGAGAGGACCGAGAAGGACAUACCUCUGGUGUACCAGUUAUCGUGCCAACGGUAAACGCUGGGUAGCUAUGUAUGGAGUGGAUAACCGCUGAAAGCAUCUAAGUGGGAAGCCCACCUCAAGAUAAGUAUUCAC